AUUAGUGGAAUUCACUUCUAUUUUUCUCUUUUUUUUCUGGGAGUAUCCCCAGUCCUGAUGGUCCUUUUUCCGCAAACCAAACUGCUGCUAGAUGCCACGCGGGACUUUAAACCAAUACCAUUGCUGGCCUCCACAUCCAUGUCCACACCACUUCCCUACUCUGGUGAGUGA